GCAGCGCCGCCCGCUCGUCGCCGCCGGCCACGCCGGAGACGGAGAAGAAGAAGACGGCCACUGCCGCUAGCAACAGAGUCUGCACUCUUGCCGCCAUUGGAAUAUGUCCAAAAACUACAAUCCGACUCCAGGAAGAAGAAGAGGAGGAGGAGGAAGAAGAAGGAGAGCAGAGGCUGCAAUGAAAACCUCAAACUUUAUCUAUAUAUGUAGGUAUCAUCAUCAAGCACUGCAUGGUGAGGUGUGAGCUAGGAGAGAACAUUUGUUUCUUGUACUAAAAUAAAAACCGUCUUGGCAUUUUUCAACAUGGCAUGGCAUGCAAUUUGCUGCUUUGUUUAA